rnacentral:lncRNA from 1 species
GACUCUCAGCAUCAUGGGAGGAUCUAUGGAUCGAUUUGAGCUUCUUAAAUCUGACACCAAUAUCUUCGUGGGUCCAAGCAUCCUCUAUAUUCCUCCUUCCCAGAUCCAAACAUCAUAGGAUAAAAAGAGUAAGCUUCAGUGUCAGAGUGAAGAUCCGAGCUCAAAAAUGGAUAAAGGAAUAUUUACUUGAAGGUAGCAGCUUUGCAUAGUUGAUUAGAUCUCUCAGAGCUAAUAAAAAAGCUGGUCAAGGUCCCAUUCAGCGGAGAACUCAGCUAUUGAAGGUGUUUCAAUAGUAGGAGAAUAAUAAGAAGCAAAUUCAUCAAUAUAAAGGAAAUUCUACUUACUUUUGUAAGCUGAAUAAGCAAGUAGCACUUGAAGAAGAUGACACCUGUUUGAUGAUCCAAAAAAGAAGAAGGCAGAGCUCAAGGUUGAAGAAAGGCAGAUCCAUUUUAAGAGGAGGCGUGAAGUUAAUAGAGAUUAGGAAAAUGGGUGAUUUUGGAAACCCUACUGCCUUUUUGGGUCUUAAGAAAAUCCGGGUUGGACCGGGUCUUUCAAAUAGUAGUGGGCUUUUAAUUGUAAAAUGGGUUGGUCCGUUAAUUCUUGAAUAAUUUUUAAUAAAAUACCAAAUUAAACAAAAAAAAACUUUUAAUAUAGUAUAGAUUAGAGAUUGGAGAUAUAGAUUAUUAUUAUUAUUAUUACUACUACUACUAUUAUUAUUAUUAUUACUAUUACUAUUAUUGUCAUACCCCUUUUUAACUCCAAAAAGAUAUUAUUUUAAAGUUCGAAAGGGUUUUUAUUAUCAAAGUGACAAAAGAUAAAAAUUUAUUUCGAAAAGGACCUUUUAUAUUAAAAACUCAGAGGCGCCACUUGGCAUAAUCCGGUGUGCCAAAUCACCUUUGGAAAAUCCUUUUCAAAAUGAUUUGACUCUUUAAAACUGGUUUGCGAACAGAGAUUCCGGCUAAGAAUUUUGUUGAUCGACGGGAAGAUUUUAGGCACCCCUCGAUACCGUGGUUCGACCACGGUCACUGCGUAUCGGCUAAUUUGACACCAUGAAUGUAUAAAACCACACAAAAGCACGCAAAACAAUCAAUCAAGCAAACAAAAUGAAAAUAAUCCAAAAUUUGGUGUCCAGUCCAAUUUAUUACAUGCCGAAAUAGAAAAUACUGAAAUAAACCUACACUAACUUAUACUAGUCCUAAACUAUACUCUACCCGAUACCUCGGGCCUUCAUGACAGACAUCCUCCAUGUACAAAAUACCUCGAGGCAUUCCCCGGCGAAUAAACACAAAUAACUCGGGGUAUUCCCCGGCCAAAUGAAUACACUUUUAAUGCCGGAAGACCACAACCAUUCAACAAUAUUUCAAACAUUCCAAUAUUUAUAAUCCAUAAAUUUUCCUAUCACCCCUAUCGUUUGCCUUUCGAUUUGACGGCCUAAUCAUGAUACUAUCAAGUUCAAUGACAUCAAUGAAUCAAAAUUAGUCCGUAUUCAUUUUUUUGCUUUUCAAAUUCCGCCCUACUUUAAUUCUUGAUCAAUUAACCAAUUCCAAUACAGAAUCAUCCAAUCAAAACUACGACAAUCAUAGACGUUCAAAUAUACUAUCAAAAAUUAUAUCAUCAAUCAACAUGAAGCAAGCAACUCACAACAUCACCUCACCAAAUUAUGUAAAACAAAGAGAAGGAUCUGAAGAAUCGGACCUUAGAAGAAGCUUUAAAAAUUGAUGUAUUAUUCCAAGAAAAACUUGGUAUAAUCCGUGUCGAGAACCUUAAUUCAGACCUCAAUCACGAACUUGCCAACUCGAUCAAAACUGCAAAACAGCAGAGAAAACCAUAAAAAAAAUCCAAAUCUCAAUUUUUAAACCAAGCUUGAAACGAGUCACACCAGGUUUGCUAUUUUUGGUGAAGUUUGAACUCCCUGGAGCUCCGUUGGAUCUCGGCAGUUAGCGAAAUAAUGUUUUCCCAGUGAGAUUUUGCCAGAAAACUAGAAACGAAAGAGAAUUCAAAGAUUUUGAGGGUGCGGAUGGUCUAAUUCCGGUAAGGGAAUACCAAUUCCGGUGAGAAACUCGCCGGAAAAACCAAACCAGCCGUCCUUGAUUUGAAGGUAAUAUGUUUCCUAUUUUAUCAAAGAAAACUUGUGAGUUAAAAAACAUGGUGGAUGGCUUGUGUCUUUAGCUUUCGCGACAAUCGCUCUUGCCCCAGUCACAUUUAACCUUGCUUCCAACUAUUAGCAUAUGUCAUUGACUUGUUGCAUCAGUGAUCCAAAUUCAUAUUAGGAAGAGUGACUCUGCCACAAACACAGUAUCUCUGCUUUGCCAUGUUUCUCAGUUAAACCCUUUGAACAAUGGUAUUUCUGUGGGUUCCCAGACUUGUCUGUUGACAAAACUCUCUACAUGUCCUUUUUUUUUCAGCUCACAAUCAUGUCUCUUUCUUGCGCUGGCCUUUUUGUCUUGCUUUGUACAAUUGAAGAAGUUGGUAGCCAAUUUUAAAAUCUUUUUUCACUUGUUUCGACAUGGACUAGACUCAAAGACAAGAGCAAAAAUGACCAUGAUUUUUUAUUUGGAUAACUGACUCAAGAAAAAUAAAAUAAAAAUAAAAUAAAGAGAAGAAAGAAAAGACAAUGAAUGUCCCCAUUAAAAAAAAAUAAUGAAAAAUGUAUCUAAAAAUGAGAGUUAACUCUAAUGAUUAUGCCAUGCAUUUUGGAUUAAGCUGCCUGAUCUUUCAUCCAAACCUUCUACUAAUUGUUAUUGAGUUAAUGACCUUGAAACUGAAUUGCUUCCUUGGGCCAAUUUGCAUUCAAAAAUCUCAUUUGGCUAGUGGCACCUUGAAGGGUUUUCGCCAACAAGCCUCUCUCAUCUUCUUUUCCUCAACUCACCAUAGUCUUAUGGUGUCUGUAAGAGUUUUCACCAACGAGACUCUCUUAUCUUCAUUUCUCUCAACUCACAGUCGUCUUACGAUGCCCGUGAGAGUUUUCACCGAUAAGACUCUCUCAUUUUUACUGCUCUCUUGAUUUCUUAUGCCGAGGAAGACAAGUGGUUCCCAAAUGCAUCAUCAUAUCCCUUGUAUUCUUAGCCUUAACAUCCUCAAAGAUUGAUCCGAAGGUCUUUCUUUGGUUGUAACUUGGCUUUUGGAUAGGGUUAGAAAGAAGGGAUGGCAUGGGGCCCAAACGACACUUAAAGUGGGGUAGGACUUACAACUUUUAAAAUCGACUCAAAUAAUGAGGAUUAACUCAUGCCCCAGUUUUUAACUAUGCAAUUCUAAAUCAUUUAUUUGGUUGGCCCGAGCCCUAAGUAGGGCAGCCUACGUAUCUCACCCCCGGUAGAGGAGAAUCAAGUCAUGCGUAGUUCUGCCAACUUAUUUUGCUUGAUUCUGAUUUCUUUUUUCUUUUGACUUCUUUUUUUUUUCUUUGUAAUUUUUCUGACUCUAUUUACUUACUCUUUUCUUCCUUCUUGGACACAUUUUCCUCUUUUUUUUUUAACUUUCUGACACUACUCUCUUGCUCGAUACUUUUCUUUUGAACUUUGUUGGUUUUAUCUUGAUUCCAAAAAAAGGGUAUGAAAGAAAAUAACACUAAGGCUUAAAUGGGGUAAACAAAGGAUGACACAAUGUUUAGAUAGCAGAAUAAAAUGUCUUCGUCAUAUCAAUCCUUGAAAAUGCACGUACAUAUCAUGCAAUAUGAAAGUGAAAGAUGAAGAUCAUUUGACACCUUAACAACACUAUCUUUAAUUGAACAUGUGUGCUACUUCUUCCUCUACACUUCUCAAACAUAUAACUCCACCUUUGUUGUAUAUCCCUUACAUUGAAUGACUCAUACUUUCGUCGAGUUGAUUUUCUUUAUAUUCCUCUUGAUAGGAUCACGCAGACACUGUUUGACCUAAUCGAGACAUGUCUUUUAAUUGACGACCAAGUUAUUCUUGUGAUUCUCAAAAUAAUUGCCUUAAUUUUUAGAAAAGGCUUUAACUUGUCACCAAAUAUCUCAGCACUCUACUAUUUUCUUAGAUGUUUCUCCUAACUUUAGCCCUCUGAUUCAAUGUUCAUGCUUAAACUGCAUUUUAAGAUCUGACUGAAAAUUCUGCAGGCAUGUCAUAUUACUAGAAUCAACAUAAAAUAUGUUGUAUAAAGAAAACAAACAAACAACACAUUUGAAACAUAAAAGGAAAGGGACACUUCAUUUAGUUGAAAUAAAAGAUAAAAGGGUUUGAACAUAAACGACGAAGGGACAAACAAGAUAGAUCUCGAACUACAACCCUGAAAUACUUCAAAAAAUAAAAAAGAAAACAAAACAAACUACCAGACCUCUUCCUAGUAGGGAGAUGGGUGACUUCUCAUUUGCUCAGCCUGACAACUUAGCCACUGGUUUGCAUAUCAACAUGACCAGAGCUUCCCUCACUGUCAAUGUUCUGCACCAUAAUCGAUCCAUCUUGAAUCAUCUUUUCAAUUUCCCUUUUCAAAUCUCUACAAUCUUUAAUACUAUGACCCUGAGCAUCAGAAUUAUACGCACAUCAUACAUUAGGGUCAAAAUUUCUUGAACGUCGAUUAAGAGUGCACCCAAGGAAAGGAGUGUUCAUUCUCCACUAUACCAAUUUCUGAAACAAACUGGCAUACGACUCUCUAAUUGGUGUGAAGCUAUCUCUCGACUUCUGCCUCAUUUCAUCAUUUGGCUUGGAUCAAAAAUCAGGCGUAGAAGGGUUUUGGUAUAUUUGUGAAGUUAGAGGAUGACUCUGAAUUGUUGGUGUUUUCCACUGUGGGUAAGAUGGGGGUUGAUUAUGUGGUUGUGCAUUAUAUACUGAAUAUGGAGGUGGAGGAGCAGAGUAUAAUGGAUUUUAGGAGUGAUUAUGUGGAGCUUGGGCAGGACCUUGGGUUUGAGCCUGAGAGUGGCGACAACGGGGUCUUCUUGACCGUGCCCACUGUCCAACUACAAUAGAGGAUGCAACUUCCUCAUUCUUUGUCUCCACAACACUUCCUGAACCCUUUUGAAUUGCUUGAGUUGUCACUUUCAAUGUUGCAAAACUCACAAUGUGACCAGUCUUAAUUCCCCCUUCUAUCAUCUCCCCAUUUUAAGGACCUCAAUAAAUGACUUGCCUAAUGCAGGUAACAAGUGUUGAUAAUAUAUUUCAUCCUGUGCUUGAAUAAAUACCUUUGCUAUUUUGCUUUCUUUCAUUGGCGGUUUUACUCUCACAGCUUGUUCGCGCCAUCUGAACGCAUACUUUCUGAAACUCUCAGUAUUCUUCUUUUUUAUACUAGUUAGGGAUUUUUCGUCAGAGAUCAACUCCACAUUGUAUUGAAAUUGUUAAAAAAAUUCAUUAGCUAGGUCAUCCCAACUAAUCUACUUGUCAAUGUCUUGGUCAACAAACCAUUUCGAAGCUAGGCCUGAAAGACUCUCCCAGAAAUAAUCCUUGAGUAGUUCUUCCUUCCCUCUAGUGCCCCUCAAUUGGUUAUAAUAGCGACUCAAAUGUGCCACUGGGUCCCCAUGUCCAUCAUAGUUCUCAACCUUUGGCAAUUUAAAGCCAGGUGGAAGGUUGACACCUGGAAACAUGCAUAAGUCCUUAUAUGAGACACUUAUGUAACCCUCAAGUCCUUGCAAGUUCUUCAUAGCCAGUUCCAAACUUCUCAAUUUUUGGUCAUUUUUCCUCUUGUCCUUCUUUCAUAACAAGCUUCUUAGUGUUAGGAGGAAAUUCAAGCGGGUGAGUGUCACUGUAAAGACCAGUCAACUUGAAUGUAGGCUCGAAAGUGUAAUGCUGAUCACCAAUAAUAUUCAAUGCAGGCUUUCUUGUAGAGUAGGGAGGCACAACUUGUGGACGAACAUCAAAAGUAGGAGCUUCAGGUGGUGGUGGCACCGCAAAAGCAUAAACAACAGGUGGAGCCGAGUAUGUGGUAGUCUUGGAUUAGGGAGUGAGGAAAUGAACAUUAGAAGUGGUUGGGUAUUGUUGCCCCCGAGUCGAUCCUGAUGCAUGUUGUGGCAUAUCAACAAAAAUGGGAAAUUGUGCAUAUGACACGAGAGGCAAGAUGGAAAGAUAUUCCAGAUUAUCAUUGGGAACUGGAGGAGGAGGUAACCCAUUAGCCCAAGCUCGAUGCAUUCCUAUCAUUUGCUGCCUCAAUUUUCGAAUCACUUCAUUAGCUCCUACAUUCUCACUUCCCAAACUCCCUAUCUGAUUAGUGACAACAAACUCGGUAUCCUUGUUAGCCAUAACCUUCUCUAUGACUUGGUGCAAUAUGGAGGACCCGCUAAAAUGCCACAACCCAACCACCUCAAACUAACUGAACAAGAGAUAGCAAAUGUGUUAGAGUUCAACACUUUCUCAAAAUCUCUCCUUUUUUUUCUUUUUUAAAAGGUCACCGAACCCAAGAAGGGUGUCUACGUAUCUCAGCCCCCGAGAGAGGAGAAUCAGGUGUGCGUAGUUCGUGAAAUCUUGCCAAAAUGGUCAAAUAAACUCUUUUUCUUUUUCUUGAAACUUUAAAAAUAAAAGGAAAUAACAAAUUGUCAAAAGAAUUGACGAAAAUCUUUUUUGCAUUUUUUGGCUUUAAUAACCUAUACAAAAUGAAACCUAUGAUUACCAAAGAAAAGUCAUUUUGGAUUUUCGAUUUUAAAUUUCAUAUGAAAAUAAAACUUGAAACUAUUAAAGGAAAAUGUUUUUGUAGUUUUCUUUUAGAGAUUUAUAUAAGACACUUACUUUAAAUAAAGAGUGAAGAAAAUCUUUUAGAAUUUUUCAAAUAAGAUCUCCGAACCAAAAAUAGGUUGCCUACAUAUCUCACAUCCCGAAAGAGGAGAAUCAGGGGUGCGUAGUUUGUCCAGAUUGGAUAAUUAAUGAUUAAAUAACCAACUAAACCCGGACUUGAGAGACCAGACCACAAACAGAAGAUGAAAAACAUCAAUAAAAUCUUUUUAAGUUUUCAAUUUGAGUCUUAACCUAAAAAUGACACCAAUAAAUAUGCAAGGAAAAUCUUUUUGAUACUUUCGUUAUAUGAAAUGUAUAAAACUUCUAUCAGUUUUUAAAUUUUUCUUUUAUAAAAGGCUCCUAUUGAAAAAAAAUCUUUUUAAAAUUUUUGAAUUAUGAAUGCAUGCUAAAGGAGACAAAGCAAAAAACUUUCUGAUGUUUUUGAUUUUAGACAAAUGAGUGCAAAAGGAAAAAAAAUCUUUCUGAAUUUUGAAUUUUGAAAAACAAAAGCCAUAAAGAACUCUAAAAACUAGAAACUCUCUUUUUUUUCUUUUCGACUCACUAUUCUUCUUUUUUUUUCUUUACUUCUAACACAUGUUUUCCCCAAAUUAGUCCAUCAAAUGACCAUAUUACCCUCAAAGAUGCAACAAUUAACACGUAGGGAUGCUUUAGAGGCGAGUCUCCUACAAAAGGCCAAGUGGGCCCCGUUAGGUCUUCAAUAUGAUGCAUAUAAACAUGACCUAAAGGCUGACCUACGUUGGGGUUCACUAACAAGGCUGUUCGGAGGAGCGUAUAUUCGAUAGUGGUUGCUUUGCUUUCCAUCUACUCAAUAACACCGAUGGCUCCUCCCAUAAAAUAAGGGUGACUCAACUAGAGGUCGUGUGCAAUACAUGUACUAUGGACUUGUUGCAGAAAGAAUGACUCGGGCUAUGCACAUGAUGCUAGAUAUAAAGUAGUAACACAUAAGAUAAAACUGUAAACAAAGAGCAUGUAGGCACUCAAAAAAAAAAACAAAAAGCAACACAAACAUAUGUCUAUACACCUAUAGUGACAAACUAAGCUGAUACAACUCCAAAUUAAGCUCUAAUUCUGAAAAUAGAUCUCCAGCAGAGUCGCCAGAGCUGUCACACCUCUUUUAAACUCCAAAAAGAUAUUAUUUUAAAAGUUUGAAAGGGUUUUCGUUAUAAAAGUGACAAAAGAUAAAAAUUUGCUUCGAAAAGGACCUUUUAUAUUCAAAACUCAGAGUCGCCACUUGGCAUAAUCCGGUGUGCCAAGUCACCUUUGGAAAAUCCUUUUCAAAAUGAUUUGACUCAAACUGGUUUGCUAACAGAGAUUUUGACUAAGGAAUUUUGUUGACAGACGGGAAGGUGUUAGGCACCCCUCGAUCCUGUGAUUUGAACGCGGUCGCUUGUUGGAGCAUAUCGGCUAAUUUGACACCACGAAUGUAUAAACCACACAAAAGCACGCAAAACAAUCAAUCAAGCAAAAAAAAAUAAAAACAAUCCAAAAUUUGGUGUCCAGUCCAAUUUAUUACAAAUCGAAAUAGAAAAUACUGAAAUAAACCUACACUAACCUAUACUAGUCCUAAAUUAUACUCUACCCGAUGCCUUGGUCCUUCAUCACAGACAUCCUCCGUGUACAAAAUACCUCAGGGCAUUCCCCAACGAAUAAACACAAAUACCUCGGGGCAUUCCCCAGCCAAAUGAAUACAUUUUUAAUGCAAGAAGACCACAAUCAUUCAAUAAUAUUUCAAACAUUCCAUAUUUUAUAAUCCCUAAAUUUGCUUAUCACCCCUAUUGUUUGCCUAUCGAUUUGACGACCUAAUCUUGAUACUAUCAAGUUCGAUGACAUCAAUGAAUCAAAAUUAGUCCGUAUUCAUUUUUUUACUUUUCAAAUCCCAUCUCACUUUUAUUCUUGAUCAAUUAACCAAUUCCAAUACAGAAUCAAAACUACGAUAAUCAUAGACGUUCAAACAUACUAUAAAAAAUUAUAUCAUCAAUCAACAUGAACCACGCAACUCACAACAUCACCUCACCAAAUUAAGUAAAACAAAGAGAAGGAGUUGAAGAAUUGGACCUUAGAAGAAGCUUUCAAAAUUGAUGUAUUAUUCCAAUAAAAACCCGGUACAAUCCGCGUCGAGAACCUUGAUUCAUACCUCAAUCACGAACUUGCCAACUCGAUCAAAACCCCAAAACAGCGGAGAAAGCCACAAAAAAAAUCCAAAUCUCAAUUUUUGAACCAAGCUUGAAAUGAGUCAUGCCAGGUUUGUUAUUUUUGGUGAAGUUCGAACUCGCUGAAGCUCCGAUGGAUCUCGACAGUCAGCGAAACAAUGUUUUCCCAGUGAGAUUUUGCCAGAGAACUAGAAAUGAAAGAGAAUUCGAAGAUUUUGAGGGUGCGGAUGGUCUAAUUCCGGUAAGGGAAUACCGAUUUCGGCGAGAAACUCGCCGAAAAAACCAAACCAGUCGUCCUUUUUCUCAUGUAUUCCCUCUCUUCGAUCGAUUCUCUCCCUUUCUCAAUUUGGAUUGUCUUCUCUCCGAUCUCACGCUCAGAUUUGUCUCUCACUGUGGUUGUGUGUAUGUAUAAUGGUUUUGUGUGAAGGCAGGUGUAUUAAUGGAAUAAACUCAUCAGUGAUGGUGUCUAUAUAUUCCUCUUUCCCGUAUUCUAUAUGUGUAUAUGUUGAAUUGAGAUCUUUUUCUUUAUGGUUACCGUGAUGUUCGUCCAUGGCGUGUAGGUGUGUUCGUGGUAUAUGGGUCUUCUCUAAAAAUGGAAAAAAAUGGUCAGAAUGUUACUGUGUGGACAUCUCUGUAUUGUUAUCUAUUGUAUUCUUAUGUAUUCGCCUCCCAGUUUCUGUGUGAAGUGCGUGUGUAUAUUGUGAAUUACAGUGAGUGAGAAUUGUGUGGUAGUGGAGUAGGGUAGGUGGGCUAGUGAGGUGCGGGUAGGGGUAGGAUGUGAUGUGGUUUAUUUUGAUUGGAUGGGUUGUUAGGAUAAGAUAAAAUUAGCUAGGGAUUGUUAUUUUUGUCAUUUUGUGGAGAUUAUCACACGGGGUAGGGUACGCGGUAGGAUAAGGUAAAAAUGUGUAAAAAUGAUAUAGGGAAGGGACAAAAUUAGGUGUCUACAUCAUGCCCCCUUUGAAUGUAAACACAAAGUAUUUUUGAACAAAGAAGUAGACAACAAGACAGAAUUUUGUCCCGAUCAUUAUUCGAAGGAAAAAUAGAAGAAAGAAGAGCAAUCGAGUAUUGACUUAGGACACCCUACCUACCCAAGUUAUGAGGGAAUCAAGUGACAGGAUUCUCAAAGGAUUGAAAGGAGAUGGACUUUACCGAGUUGAAGAGUCGAGUGAGGUCCCGAUGAGGUUCCAGUCCGCGCAUCUGUUAUUACAUCAUAAAUAAAAGUUACAAGUUAAAACAUAAAUAAAAUUACAAAAUCAUAUCUAUGCAGUUAGUUUCUUUUGGACUCUUAACUUGAGUUUCAUCACUCUAUUCUUCAGGCGGGCUCCUGACUUGCAAUUUCAUCACUUGUUGCUUGGUUUUCAAUCUCUUCACCCUGUUCUUCAGGCGGGUUCCUAACUUGCUAUUUUUUCAAUCUGUUGACUUUAAAUUUCUUCACCUUGUUGCUUGACUUUCAACUUCUUCACCUUGUUACUUGACUUUCAACUUUUUCACCAUGUUGCUUGACUUUUCAUUUAUUCACCCUGCUCUUCAGGCGGGCUCCUGAAAUCACAUCAAUACUAAAAAGAAAAAUUAUCCCAAACAAAGAUUAUUAUAAAGAGAUUUCAUUUGUCAGGAAAGCGAAGUUCCAAACACAGGAUUUAAAUUUUCCCCAGUUUCUCAUCAAAGGACUUUUGGGAAAGUCACAUCAUUAUAGGAAUCAAAGGGAAUGACUAGACUAAAAGGAACAUCUUAUAAGAAUCAAAGGGAAUGACUCAACUAAAAGGUACGUCUUCUAGGAAUCAAGGGAUAUGACUCGACUAAAAGGUACUUCUUAUAGGAAUCAAGGGGCAAGGGGAAUGACUUGACUAAGUCUAAUGACUCGACUAGGGAAUGACUAGACUAAAAGGAACAUCUUAUAAGAAUCAAAGGGAAUGACUCAACUAAAAUGUACGUCUUAUAGGAAUCAAGGGGAAUGACUUGACUAAAAGGUACGUCUUUUAGGAAUCAAAUGACUCGACUAAAGGCACAUCAUCUAGGAAUCAAGGGGAAUGACUAGACUAAAAGGUACGUCUUCUAGGAAUCAAAGGUAAUGACUCGACUAAAAGGUACGUCAUCUAGGAAUCAAGGGGAAUGACUCGACUAAAAGGUACGUUUUCUAGGGGUCAAGGGGAACGAUUCAACUAAAAGGUACGUCUUCUAGGGGUCAAAGGGAAUGACUCGACUAAAAGGUACAUUUUAUAGGAAUCAAGGGGAAUGACUCGACUAAAAGGUACGUCUUCUAGGGGUCAAGAGGAAUGACUCGACUAAAAGGUACGUCUUCUAGGAAUCAAAUUAAAUAACUCGACUAAAAGGUACGCCUUAUAGGAAUCAAGGAGAAUGACUCGACUAAAAGGUACGUCUUCUAGGGGUCAAGGGAAAAGACUCGACUAAAAGAUAUGUCUUAUAGGAAUUAAAGAAGAUGACUCGAAUAAAAGGUACGUCUCAUAGGAGUGAAGGUUCAAUUUAAGAAGUGUAUCACCUAGCAAAUGAAAACUAAAAUCCCUGGACAAGAAAGUGUCUCCGAGGGAUAUAGGAUGAUGAUUUUUUACAAUGACUUGAUUAUUAAACCUGUCCAACAACAUUGUUUCCUGCAUUUGUAGGAGUGAGGCAUUGCAGACCUUGAUAUUUAUGUUCCGAAUUCCUUGAUUUAAAGGUAAUAUGUUUCCUAUUUCAUCAAAAAAAACUUGUGAGUUAAAAAAUAUGGUGGCUGGCUUGUGGCUUUAGCUUUUGCGACAAUCGCUCUUGCCCCAGUCACAUUUAACCUUGCUUCCAACCAUUAGCAUAUGUCAUUGACUUGUUGAAUCAGUGAUCCAAACUCAUAUUAGGAAGAGUGACUCUGCCACAAACACAGUAUCUCUGCUUUGCCAUGUUUCUCAGUUAAACCCUUUGAACUAUGGUAUUUCCGUGGGUUCCCAGACUUGUCUAUUGACAAAACUUUCUAUAUGUCCUUUUUUCAGCUCACAAUUAUAUCUCUUUCAUGCGCUGGCCUUUUUGUCUUGCUUUGUACAAUUGAAGAAGUUGGUAGCCAAUUUUAAAAUCUUUUCUCACUUGUUUCGACAUGGACUAGACUCAAAGACAAGAGCGAAAAUGACCAUGAUUUUUUAUUUGGAUAACUGACUCAAGAAAAAUAAAAUAAAAAUAAAACAAAGAGAAGAAAGAAAAGACAAUGAAUGUACCCAUUAAAAAAAAUAAUGAAAAAUGUAUCUAAAAAUGACAGUUAACUCUAUUGAUUAUGCCAUGCAUUUUGGAUUAAGUUGCCUGAUCUUUCAUCUAAACCUUCUACUAAUUGUUGUUGAGUUAAUGACCUUGAAACUGAAUUGCUUCCUUGGGCCAAUUUGCAUUCAAAAAUCUCAUUUGGCUAGUGGCACCUUGAAGGGUUUUCGCCAACAAGCCUCUCUCAUCUUCUUUUCCUCAACUCACCAUAGUCUUAUGGUGUCUGUAAGAGUUUUCACCAACGAGACUCUCUUAUCUUCGUUUCUCUCAACUCAUAGUCGUCUUACGAUGCCCAUGAGAGUUUUCACCGAUAAGAAUCUCUCAUUUUUAUUGCUCUCUUGAUUUCUUAUGCCGAGGAAGACAAGUGGUUCCCAAAUGCAUCAUCAUAUCCCUUGCAUGCUUAGCCUUAACAUCCUCAAAGAUUGAUCCGAAGGUCUUUCUUUGGUUGUAACUUGGCUUUUGGAUAGGGUUAGAAAGAAGGGAUGGCAUGGGGCCCAAACGGCACUUAAAGUGGGGUAGGACUUACAAUUUUUAGAAACGACUCAAAUAAUGAGGAUUAACUUAUGCCCCAGUUUUUUACUAGGCAAUUCUAAAUUAUUUAUUUGGUUGGACCAAGCCCUAAGUAGGGCAUCCUACGUAUCUCACCCCCGAGAGAAAAGAAUCGGGUCAUGCGUAGUUCUGGCAACUUGUUUUGCUUGAUUCUGAUUUCAUUUUUCUUUUGACUUCUUUUUUUUUCUUUGUAAUUUUUCUGACUCUAAUUUACUUACUUUUUUUCUUCCUUCUUGGACACAUUUUCCUCUUUUUUUGAAAAAACUUUCUGACUCUACUCUCUUGCUCUAUACUUUUCUUUUGAACUUUAUUGGUUUUAUCUUGAUUCCAAAAAAGGGGUAUGAAAGAAAAUAACACUAAGGCUUAAAUGGGGUAGACAAAGGAUGACACAAUGUUUGAAUAACAGAAUAAAAUGUCUUUGUCAUAUCAAUCCUUGAAAAUGCACGUACAUAUCAUGCAAUAUAAAAGUGAAAGAUGAAGAUCAUUUGACACCUUAAAACCACUAUCUUUAAUUGAACAUGUGUGCUACUUCUUCCUCUACACUUGUCAAACAUAUAACUCCACCUUUGUUGUAUAUCCCUUACAUUGAAUGACUCAUACUUUCGUCGAGUUGAUUUUCUUUAUAUUCCUCUUGAUAGGAUCACGCAGACACUGUUUGACCUAAUCGAGACAUGUCUUUUAAUUGAUGACCAAGUUAUUCUUGUGAUUCUCAAAAUAAUUGCCUUAAUUUUUAGAAAAGGCUUCAACUUGUCACCAAAUAUCUCAGUACUCUACUAUUUUCUUAGAUGUUUCUCCUAACUUUAGCCCUCUGAUUCAAUGUUCAUGCUUAAACUGCAUUUUAAGAUCUGACUGAAAAUUCCGCAGGCAUGUCAUAUUACUAGAAUCAACAUAAAAUAUGUUGUAUAAAGAAAACAAACAAACAACACAUUUGAAACAUAAAAGGAAAGGGACACUUCAUUUAGUUGAAAUAAAAGAUAAAAGGGUUUGAACAUAAACGACGAAGGGACAAACAAGAUAGAUCUCGAACUACAACCCUGAAAUACUUCAAAAAAUAGAAAAGAAAACAAAACAAACUACCAGACCUCUUCCUAGUGGGGAGAUGGGUGACUUCUCAUUUGCUCAGCCUGACAACUUAGCCACUGGUUUGCAUAUCAACAUGACCAGAGCUUCCCUCACUGUCAAUGUUCUGCACCAUAAUCGAUCCAUCUUGAAUCAUCUUUUCAAUUUCCCUUUUCAAAUCUCAACAAUCUUUAAUACUAUGACCCUGAGCAUCAGAAUUAUACGCACAUCAUACAUUAGGGUCAAAAUUUCUUGAACAUCGAUUAAGAGUGCACUUAAGGAGAGGAGUGAUCAUGCUCCAUUGUACCAAUUUCUGAAACAAACUAGCAUACGACUCUCUAAUUGGUGUGAAGUUAUCUCUCGACUUCUGCCUCAUUUCAUCAUUUGGCUUGGAUAAAAAAUCAGGCUUAGAAGGGUUUUGGUAUAUUUGUGAAGUUAGAGGAUGACUCUGAAUUGUUGGUGUUUUCCACUGUGGGUAAGAUGGGGGUUGAUUAUGUGGUUGUGCAUUAUAUACUGAAUAUGGAGGUGGAGGAGCAGAGUAUAAUGGAUUUUAGGAGUGAUUAUGUGGAGCUUGGGCAUGACCUUGGGUUUGAGCCUGAGAGUGGCGACAACGGGGUCUUCUUGACCGUGCCCGCUGUCCAACUACAAUAGAGGAUGCAACUUCCUCAUUCUUUGUCUCCACAAUACUUCCUGAACCCUUUUGAAUUGCUUGAGUUGUCACUUUCAAUGUUGCAAAACUCACAAUGUGACCAGUCUUAAUUCCCUCUUCUAUCAUCUCCCCCAUUUUAAGGACCUCAAUAAAUGACUUGCCUAAUGCAGGUAACAAGUUUUGAUAAUAUAUUUCAUCCUGUGCUUGAAUAAACACCUUUGCUAUUUUGCUUUCUUUCAUUGGCGAUUUUACUCUAACAGCUUGUUCGCGCCAUCUGAUCGCAUACUUUCUGAAACUCUCAGUAUUCUUCUUUUUUAUACUAGUUAGGGAUUUUUCGUCAGAGAUCAACUCCACAUUGUAUUGAAAUUGUUGCACAAAUUCAUUAGCUAGGUUAUCCCAACUAAUCUACUUGUCAAUGUCUUGGUCAACAAACCAUUUCGAAGCUAGGUCUAAAAGACUCCCCCAGAAAUAAUCCUUGAGUAGUUCUUCCUUCCCUCUAGCGCCCCUCAAUUGGUUACAAUAGCGACUCAAAUGUGCCACUGGGUCCCCAUGUCCAUCAUAGUUCUCAAACUUUGGCAUUUUAAAGUCAGGUGGAAAGUUGACACCUGGAAACAUGCAUAAGUCCUUAUAUGAGACACUUUUGUAACCCUCAAGUCCUUGCAAGUUCUUCAUAGCCAGUUCCAAACUUCUCAAUUUUUUGGUCAUUUCCUCUUGUCCUUCUUUCAUAACAAGCUUCUCAGUGUUAGGAGGAAAUUCAAGUGGGUGAGUGUCACUGUAAAGACCAGUCAACUUGAAUGUAGGCUCGAAAGUGUACCGCUGAUCACCAGUAAUAUUCAAUCCAGGCUUUCUUGUAGAGUAGGGAGGCACAACUUGUGGACGAACAUCAAAAGUAGGAGCUUCAGGUGGGGGUGGCACCGCAAAAGCAUGAACAACAGGUGAAGCCGAGUAUGUGGUAGUCUUGGAUUGGGGAGUGAGGAAAUAAACAUUAGAAGUGGUUGGGUAUUGUUGCCCCAAAGUCGAUCCUGAUGCAUGUUGUGGCAUAUCAACAAAAAUGGGAAAUUGUGCAUAUGACACGAGAGGCAAGAUGGAAAGAUAUUCCAGAUUAUCAGUGGGAACUGGAGGAGGAGGUAACCCAUUAGCCCAAGCUCGAUGCAUUCCUAUCAUUUGCUGCCUCAAUUUCCGAAUCACUUCAUUAGCUCCUACAUUCUCACUUCUCAAACUCCCUAUCUGAUAGUGACAACAAACUCGGUAUCCUUGUUAGCCAUAACCUUCUCUAUGACUUGGUGCAAUAUGGAGGACCAGCUAAAAUGCCACAACCCAACCACCUCAAACUAACUGAACAAGAGAUAACAAAUGCGUUAGAGUCUAACACUUUCUCAAAAUCUCCCCUUUUUUUCUUUUUGAAAAGGUCACCGAACCCAAGAAGGCUACCUACGUAUAUCACCCCCUGAGAGAGGAGAAUCAGGUGUGCGUAGUUCAUGAAAUCUUGCCAAAAUGGUCAAAUAAACUCUUUUUCUUUUUCUUGAAACUUUAAAAAUAAAAGGAAAUAACAAAUUGUCAAAAGAAUUGACGAAAAUCUUUUUUGCAUUUUUCGGCUUUAAUAACCUAUACAAAAUGAAACCUAUGAUUACCAAAGAAAAGUCAUUUUGGAUUUUCGAUUUUGAAUUUCAUAUGAAAAUAAAACUUGAAACUAUUAAAGGAAAAUGUUUUUGUAGUUUUCUUUUUAGAGAUGUAUAUAAAACACUUACUUUAAAUAAAGAGUGAAGAAAAUCUUUUAGAAUUUUUCAAAUAAGAUCCCCGAACCAAAAAUAGGUUGCCUACAUAUCUCACAUCCCGAAAGAGGAGAAUCAGGGGUGCGUAGUUCAUCCAGAUUGGAAAAUUAAUGAUUAAAUAAUCGACUAAACCCGGACUUGAGAUACCAGACCACAAACAGAAGAUGAAAAACAUCAAUAAAAUCUUUUUAAGUUUUCAAUUUGACACUUAACCUAAAAAUGACACCAAUAAAUAUGCAAGGAAAAUCUUUUUUGAUAUUUUCGUUAUACGAAAUGUAUAAAACUUCUACCAGUUUUUAAAUUUUUCUUUUAUAAAAGGCUCCUAUUGAAAAAUAAUCUUUUUGAAAUUUUUGAAUUAUGAAUGCAUGCUAAAGGAGACAAAGCAAAAAACUUUCUGAUGUUUUUGAUUUUUGAGAAAUGAGUGCAAAAGGAAAAAAAAUCUUUCUGAAUUUUGAAUUUUGAAAAACAAAAGCCAUAAAGAACUCUGAAAACUAGAAACUCUCUUUUUUUUUCUUUUUGACUCACUAUUCUUUUUUUUUUUUUUUUUUUUACUUCUAACACAUGUUUUCCCCAAAUUAGUCCAUCAAAUGACCAUAUUACCCUCAAAGAUGCAACAAUUAACACGUAGGGAUGCUUUAGAGGCAAGUCUCCUACAAAAGGCCAAGUGGGCCCCUCUAGGUCUUCAAUAUGAUGCAUAUAAACAUGACCUACAAGGUGACCUACGUUGGGGUUCACUAACAAGGCUGUUCGGAGGAGCGUAUAGUCGAUAGUGGCUGCUUUGCUUUCCACCUACUCCAUAACAUCGAUGGCUCCUCCCCUAAAAUAAGGGUGACUCAACUAGAGGUCGUGUACAACACGUGUACUAUGGACUUGUUGCAGAAAGAAUGACUCGGGCUAUGCACAUGAUGCUAGAUAUAAAGCAGCAACACAUAAGAUAAAAUUAUAAACAAAGAGCAUGUAGGCACUCAAAAAAAUAACAAAAAGCAACGCAAAUAUAUGUCUAUACACGUAUAGUGACAAACUAAGCCGAUACAACUCCAAAUUAAGCUUGAAUUCUGAAAAUAGAUCUCCAACGGAGUCGCCAGAGCUGUCACACCCCUUUUUAACUCCAAAAAGAUAUUAUUUUAAAAGUUUGAAAGGGUUUUCGUUAUAAGUGACAAAAGAUAAAAAUUUGCUUCGAAAAGGACCUUUUAUAUUCAAAACUCAGAGUCGCCACUUGGCAUAAUCCGGUGUGCCAAGUCACCUUUGAAAAAUCCUUUUCAAAACGAUUUGACUCAAACUGGUUUGCGAACAGAGAUUUCAGCUAAGGAAUUCUGUUGACCGACGGAAAGGUGUUAGGCACCCCUCGAUCCUGUGGUUUGAACACGGUCGCUUGUUGGAGCGUAUCGGCUAAUUUGACACCACGAAUGUAUAAACCACACAAAAGCACGCAAAACAAUCAAUCAAGCAAAAAAAAUAAAAACAAUCCAAAAUUUGGUGUCCAGUCCAAUUUAUUACAAAUUGAAAUAGAAAAUACUGAAUAAACCUACACUAACCUAUACUAGUCCUAAAUUAAACUCUACCCGAUGCCUUGGGCCUUCAUCACAGACAUCCUCCGUGUACAAAAUACCUCAGGGCAUUCCCCAACGAAUAAACACAAAUACCUCGGGGCAUUCCCCAGCCAAAUGAAUACAUUUUCAAUGCAAGAAGACCACAAUCAUUCAAUAAUAUUUCAAACAUUCCACAAUUUAUAAUCCCUAAAUUUGCCUAUCACCCCUAUUGUUUGCCUAUCGAUUUGACGACCUAAUCUUGAUACUAUUAAGUUCGAUGACAUCAAUGAAUUAAAAUUAGUCCGUAUUCAUUUUUUUACUUUUCAAAUCCCGUCUCACUUUCAUUCUUGAUCAAUUAACCAAUUCCAAUACAGAAUCAACCAAUCAAAACUACGAUAAUCAUAGACGUUCAAACAUACUAUCAAAAAUUAUAUCAUCAAUCAACAUGAACCACGCAACUCACAACAUCACCUCACCAAAUUAAGUAAAACAAAGAGGAGGAGUUGAAGAAUUGGACCUUAGAAGAAGCUUUCAAAAUUGAUGUAUUAUUCCAAUAAAAACCCGGUACAAUCCGCGUCGAGAACCUCGAUUCAUACCUCAAUCACGAACUUGCCAACUCGAUCAAAACCCCAAAACAAUGGAGAAAACCACAAAAAAAAAAAAUCCAAAUCUCAAUUUUCGAACCAAGCUUGAAACGAGUCACGCUAGGUUUGCUAUUUUUGGUGAAGUUCGAACUCGCUGAAGCUCCGAUGGAUCUCGGCAGUCAGCGAAACAAUGUUUUCCCAGUGAGAUUUUGCCAGAGAACUAGAAACGAAAGAGAAUUCGAAGAUUUUGAGGGUGCGGAUGGUCUAAUUCCGGUAAGGGAAUACCGAUUUCGGUGAGAAACUCGCCGGAAAAACCAAACCAGCCGUCCUUUUUCUCAUGUAUUCCCUCUCUCCGAUCGAUUCUCUCCCUUUCUCGAUUUGGAUUGUCUUCUCUCCGAUCUCACGCUCAGAUUUGUCUCUCACUGUGGUUGUGUGUAUGUAUAAUGGUUUUGUGUGAAGGCAGGUGUAUUAAUGGAAUAAACUCAUCAGUGAUGGUGUCUAUAUAUUCCUCUUUCCCGUAUUCUAUAUGUGUAUAUGUUGAAUUGGGAUCUUUUUCUUUAUGGUUACCGUGAUGUUCGUCAAUGGCGUAUAGGUGUGUUCGUGCUAUAUGGGUCUUCUCUAAAAAUGGAAAAAUAUGGUCAGAAUGUUACUGUGGGGACAUCUAUAUUGUUAUCUAUUGUAUUCUUAUGUAUUCGCCUCCCUAUUUCUAUGUGAAGUAUAUGUGUAUAUUGUGAAUUCCAG